UACAGAGGUCCCAAGCGUUGUUCGGAUUCACUGGGCGUAAAGGGUGCGCAGGUGGUCGGGUAAGUCUGACGUGAAAUCCCGCAGCUUAACUGCGGAAUGGCAUUGGAUACUAUUCGGCUAGAGGGUUGGAGGGGGGACUGGAAUUCUCGGUGUAGCAGUGAAAUGCGUAGAUAUCGAGAGGAACACCAGUGGCGAAGGCGAGUCCCUGGACAAUUGCUGACGCUCAGGCACGAAAGCGUGGGGAGCAAAAGGG
rnacentral:rRNA from 1 species